rnacentral:rRNA from 1 species
AAGCUCGUAGUUGGAUUUCUGCUGGAAGCAGCCAGUCCGCCCUCAGGGGUGUGCACUUGGUGAAUUCUAGCAUCCUUCUGGAUUUCUCCACACUUCAUUGUGUGGAGUUUUUUCCAGGACUUUUACUUUGAGAAAAUUAGAGUGUUUCAAGCAGGCUUGUCGCCUUGAAUACUGCAGCAUGGAAUAAUAAGAUAGGAUUUCGGCCCUAUUUUGUUGGUUUCUAGGACUGAAGUAAUGAUUAAUAGGGACGGUUGGGGGCAUUCGUAUUUAACUGUCAGAGGUGAAAUUCUUAGAUUUGUUAAAGACGAACUACUGCGAAAGCAUUUGCCAAAGAUGUUUUCAUUAAUCAAGAACGAAAGUUAGGGGCUCGAAGACGAUCAGAUACCGUCGUAGUCUUAACCAUAAACUAUGCCGACUAGAGACAGGAAAACGUCAUGCUUGACUUCUCCUGCAC